GUGCUCACUUUGGCAGCACAUAUACGAAAAUUGAAACGAUACAGAGAAGAUUAGUAUGGCCCCUGCACAUUAUGACACACAAAUUCGUGGUGUGUUCCAUAUUUGU
ensembl:snRNA U6 U6 spliceosomal RNA